UUAGCUCUUAAGCCACUGCUGAUCUUCUUAGAACCACACACCGCAGGUGCUUCCCUGUGGAAACUGCAAAUGUUUACUCUGUCUUCCACCUUUGAAUGACUUAGAACAUGUUGUGGCUAAGGUUCAUUCGUUAUCAACAUCCAGAAACUGCCAUUUCCUUUUCUACCUGCAAAGCCUAAUAAUAACUUUUUAAACUAUUGCUUCCUUUGCAUAUUCACCAUACAUCCUGCUUUCAGAUGUGGAAUCUAAAACCUUGCUGAGAAACUGCCUCCAAUGUUGCUCCCUUAACUUUCACUGUGGAAAACUCUGAAGGAAGUUGGCCGCACCAUUUAAUGGAAGCAUGAGGAACUAGUUUGGCUUUCAUCUGGUGGGAACUGACUGCUACAGGACCGAGGCUUUUAAAUCAAACCCAAAUAACAAAAUGUAUUUAGAGCUGAAAAAGGUGGUGCCAUCAGGCUGGGGUGGGGAUGAGGAAGUGAUUCAUUACCCCAGUUGGAAUGUAAAUUCAAUGAGUUUAAUUACUAGUGGUGUCAAAAAAGGAUUUUCACUGAUAGC
rnacentral:lncRNA from 1 species